UUAAAUUUGACAGUUCUGUUUUCUCAAGUCAAAAAUCUUAACCUUACUUUUACAAGUGAUUAGGAUUAUUAUUAUUUUAUUUACAUGUAAAUUGAAACAAUAAAUAUUGUGCUGUGUCAUAAUUUAAAACUCAUUAUGUUGCAGUCUUUUCCAGUUGAUAAAAUUGCAAUUCAAAAACUUUUAGAUUUGCACUGUAUGGAUGGCACAGGAAGAGAAAAGAGUACAAGAACAUGAAACAUCUUAUUAUGAGUGUAUAUGUAUGUGAUCCUCAAAAAAUUAUUUUACAAAACAAGAUAGAGAAAGAGCUUUAAAAUCCCAAGGAUCCUGCAAAAUGUUUAUUUGUUGUACUAGUCGAAUAAUAGUAUCUAAAAAUAUUGAAACUAUUUUAAAACACAUUACGGGCAUGAGGAUAAUAUAGAGCACUUACAUAAAUACCAAAAUCAGAUAAAUAUUUCUUCAAAGUUUAUUUUGAGACUUUCUUCAAAAAUUAAACUUCAGACUGUUCAGGAUAGCAUAAUAGCAUAGGAGGCGAAUUAAAAAGAAUUAAUUUACUUACAAGAAAAGAUAUCAGAAACAUUAAACUCUCUUAUGGCAUUGAUUUGAAAGACGGGUAUAUGUACAAUGAUGAUGCAACGUGUUUAUUUUUGGAUUGAAUGCUUACAGACUCAUGUCCAAUAUUAUUUUACAAACAACAUGACAUACUAAUGGAUAUUCAUUCUGAAUUUAACAUUUAUGAUUUUUGUCUUAUUUUCCUUAAUACUGUGCCAAAAGGAAAUGUUAAUUAAGUUUGGUAAAUCCUUUAUCGCAAUUGAUGGAACUCAUGGGCUCAAUCCCUAUGACUUUCAACUUAUGACAGUAUUAGUAAAAGAUGAAUUUGGGAAUGGAUUUUGUACUGCUUUCUUAUUUUCAAAUAGAAAAGAUACCUACUUUAAUUUACCAAUUUUUUUAAAUACAUGUCUGUGUUGGUAUUAUAUGUAUAGUCAAAUGUUUUCAUAUCAGGCAUAAGCGACACCUUUUACAAUGUCUCGUCAAAUGUAAUGGG